rnacentral:rRNA from 1 species
UACGUAGGGGGCAAGCGUUAUCCGGAAUUACUGGGUGUAAAGGGAGCGUAGACGGUAAUGUAAGUCUGGAGUGAAAGGCGGGGGCCCAACCCCCGGACUGCUCUGGAAACUAUGUUACUAGAGUGCAGGAGAGGUAAGCGGAAUUCCUAGUGUAGCGGUGAAAUGCGUAGAUAUCAGGAGGAACACCGGUGGCGAAGGCGGCCUGCUGGACUGCAACUGACGUUGAGGCCCGAAAGCGUGGGGAGCAAACAGG